GAUGAACGCUGGCGGCGUGCCUAAUACAUGCAAGUCGAGCGAAUGGAUUAAGAGCUUGCUCUUAUGAAGUUAGCGGCGGACGGGUGAGUAACACGUGGGUAACCUGCCCAUAAGACUGGGAUAACUCAGGGAAACCGGGGCUAAUACCGGAUAACAUUUUGAACCGCCUGGUUCGAAAUUGAAAGGCGGCUUCGGCUGUCACCUAUGGAUGGACCCGCGUCGCAUUAGCUAGUUGGUGAGGUAACGGCUCACCAAGGCAACGAUGCGUAGCCGACCUGAGAGGGUGAUCGGCCACACUGGGACUGAGACACGGCCCAGACUCCUACGGGAGGCAGCAGUAGGGAAUCUUCCGCAAUGGACGAAAGUCUGACGGAGCAACGCCGCGUGAGUGAUGAAGGCUUUCGGGUCGUAAAACUCUGUUGUUAGGGAAGAACAAGUGCUAGUUGAAUAAGCUGGCACCUUGACGGUACCUAACCAGAAAGCCACGGCUAACUACGUGCCAGCCGCCGCGGUAA
rnacentral:rRNA from 1 species